rnacentral:rRNA from 1 species
UACGGGGGGUGCGAGCGUUGUCCGGAAUCACUGGGCGUAAAGGGCGCGUAGGUGGUUUGAUAAGGGUGUGGUGAAAGUCCGGGGCUCAACCCCGGAUCUGCCGUGCCGACUGUCAAACUCGAGGACUGUAGAGGCAGACGGAAUUCCGGGUGUAGCGGUGGAAUGCGUAGAGAUCCGGAGGAACACCAGCGGCGAAGGCGGCAUCCUGGACUGGUCCUGACACUCAGGAGCGAAAGCGUGGG